rnacentral:rRNA from 1 species
UGGCUCAGAUUGAACGCUGGCGGCAGGCCUAACACAUGCAAGUCGAACGGUAACAGGAAGAAGCUUGCUUCUUUGCUGACGAGUGGCGGACGGGUGAGUAAUGUCUGGGAAACUGCCUGAUGGAGGGGGAUAACUACUGGAAACGGUAGCUAAUACCGCAUAACGUCGCAAGACCAAAGAGGGGGACCUUCGGGCCUCUUGCCAUCGGAUGUGCCCAGAUGGGAUUAGCUUGUUGGUGGGGUAACGGCUCACCAAGGCGACGAUCCCUAGCUGGUCUGAGAGGAUGACCAGCCACACUGGAACUGAGACACGGUCCAGACUCCUACGGGAGGCACAGUGGGGAAUAUUGCACAAUGGGCGCAAGCCUGAUGCAGCCAUGCCGCGUGUAUGAAGAAGCCUUCGGGUUGUAAAGUACUUUCAGCGGGGAGGAAGGGAGUAAAGUUAAUACCUUUGCUCAUUGACGUUACCCGCAGAAGAAGCACCGGCUAACUCCGUGCCAGCAGCCGCGGUAAUACGGAGGGUCAAGCGUUAAUCGGAAUUACUGGGCGUAAAGCGCACCAGGCGGUUUGUUAAGUCAGAUGUGAAAUCCCCGGGCUCAACCUGGGAACUGCAUCUGAUACUGCAAGCUUGAGUCUCGUAGAGGGGGGUAGAAUUCCAGGUGUAGCGGUGAAAUGCGUAGAGAUCUGGAGGAAUACCCGGUGGCGAAGGCGGCCCCCUGGACGAAGACU